AGACCGAAUGCGUAGGAGCCGCAGCCUCCUUGAGAGGUUUUUUUGUUGUUUUUUUAGGGGCGGGGCGAGCGCGCGAGGUCGGUGUGUCUGUUGACAGGUGGCAGUUGGCCCUGCUGAGAAAAGGAGUCGGAAAGCCAGGAAACUGAGUGCAAAAGGGGAGCAGGGAGGAAGCUUGGCGGGUGCCCUGAUGAACAGGCAGGCUUCCCCCCUCAAUGAGGAAAGGUGAGGCAACUGGAUCCACAGGGGCAGCAGGUCCUGAUGUAGAUCACAAAUGGACCAUUAGUCUCAUCUAGCAGUGUUUGUUUUCACUGUCAGCUGCUCUCCAGUUUGUUGUUGUUGAAUUUGUAUACGGCUGUUCGUCCGAAGAUCACAAGGUGGUUCCCAUAAAAAAGAAGACAAAAUGAUAAGACAAAAUACUUAACAAAACAUAAACCAAUAACCAGGAGUCUUUUACUAGCCAUACCUGGAGAUGCCAAGAAUCUGAACCUAGGAACUUCUCUGUGCAAAGCAGGUGCUUUACCACUGAGAUAUGGAUCUUCCCUCAAUAUAAUGACCGGGAUCCUGAGUUAGGAACCUGCCUUAUAUCAAGUCAAACAAUUGCUCCAUAUAAGCUCAGUACUGUAUUGUCAACACUGUCUGGCAAUAGUUCCCCAGGGAUUGAGGCUGGGACCUUUUGCAUGCAAAGCAUGGCCUCCAUCACUGAGCUGCAGCCCUUCCCAAUAACACAACUUCUUGUUGUGUUAGGCCAGUGAUGGCAAACCUUUUAGAGACCAAGUGCCCAAACUGCAACCCAAAACCCACUUAUUUAUUGCAAAGUGCCAACCCGGCAAUUUAACCUGAAUACUGAGGUUUUAGUUUAGAAAAAACAACUCAUACAUUAACAUCUUUAGUCUUAAAAGAAAAACACAAUAACAGAGCUUUCAACUGCUCACAAGCAUAUGAUCCAAACAAAGUGAGGAAAGCAAUCCCAAGUGCUUCCUUGACUUAAAAUUAUUUGGCAGAGAAUUCCACACUUUAAGGAUUCAUUUUAACAAGAUCUCUGCGUCAACCGUGCAGAUGGCAAUUCCCUGCUUUUAAGCUCCAGCCCGAGCAAGCAAGCGGUCUCAGCGUGGCCCUCUGAGCAUGUGCAGAGCAGUGCCCCCCCAUCAAGCCGCCAUUUCCUGAAAGGGUCCCAGGGGCUGCCCCAUGUGCUAGCCCUGCUCCCUCACCCGGCCCCGGCCGGCCCCUACGCUGGGUGUUCAGCGUGGCCCCGGGCACGCCCUCACCCGCUGCCCUUGGCUGUGGUUGAGCUCAGUGAAGAAGUACACCAGCAAGUGGGAGGUGAUAAUAGUGCAGCAAGGCCGGUGGGGCCUGGAGGCUCGGUGCCGGAUAAGGGGUGACGAGGAUGAGGCGGAGGUGGCCCUGCCUGGCUAUCCAGCACUGGAACAAAGUGGCUUCUUGAGGCUCGCCAGCAAUGCCAUCCUCCCCUGCCGGCUCCUGCAUGACGCACCCUACCUGACAUCUCCCAUUGGGCAUUGGAGGAGGAGGAAGGCGGCUGCUCAGCUGCCCAGUUUGAGCUGACAGGCCACCCUCGCCUUCUGCUGGCUCUGUGCUGGGGCGAUGGCACGCGUGCCCACAGAGAGGGCUCUGAGUGCCCCCUCUGGCACUUGUGCCAUAGGUUCGCCACCACUGUGUUAGGCUAUACAGUCCAGUACAUGGGCUUGAUGGGAACCAAGGAUUAGCCCACAGACCAGAGUCUUUAUAAUUUGAAGUAGAAGAUCUACAGUUGCAAUUAUUCCAGAUUGAGCCCCAGUUCCUUUUACACACCUGUGAUCCAUACUGCUGUAUGUAGUCACUCAAGUAGUCCCAGCCAACACACCUUUCCACAUCAGGGCUCCACUUUCAGUCUUGGGCUGUGUACACACCAUACAUUUAAAACAUAUUCUCCCUGUGCCCUCCCCCAAAGAAAAAUGAUGGAAACUGUAGUGUGUUGAGGCUGCUGGUAGUUCUAGCUCUGUAAAGGGUACAGUCCCUAGGUUUCUUUCAGAGAAAAUGUUCUUUAGGAUUUCUGUCUAAUAUUGCUUCCAGGUAACCUAUUUAUGGAGAUUCACCCUGAUUUGUGUGCGGGGAGAUUAGACAACAUCAACUACUUGCUGAACAAUCUGAUGUUAUACAGGUUAUAUACUACAUUGUGUCAAACAACUGUUAUCCUAUAUUUUAUAAUGCCUAUACACAUCACUUACGGAAAAAGUCUAAUCUAUGCGGGAAGCAGGUUUCUUGCCCAAUGAACUUUAAUAAUGCAGCCUGAACUUUUUAUUAAUAUUUUAUUGAAAUAAUUUCAGUUACAAAAGAUAAAGUAAGUGAUGAAAGAAAAAAGAGGGAGAAAGAAAAAGUGCAAAAAAUUCAAUAAGAAAAAAAGAUAUAGUGUAAUAUGGUAAACAUAAUUAGUUACAUUUCCAUACAUUAUUAGAUAGAUAUAAAUUACAGUUUCAGAAGUCCAUUCGACUUCCAAAAUGUUUGGAAACCAAAGUGUGCCUUCUGAUUGGCUGCAGGAAGCUCUUGCCAUCCAUUGGAACUGUGCUUGACAUUUGGCUUCCAAAAAUCCUUCAAAACCGGAACACUCACUUCCGGGUUUCAAUGGUUUGGGAGCCAAGGAGUUUGAGAUCCAAGAUACAACUGUAUUGUCAAAAUAUAUAUAACCUAUUAUAUUUUGUAUAAACUCAUUCCAAAUGUCAGUAUAUUUAUCCAAACAAAGUCUACAUCUAUAAGCAAUCCAUAUGUUGCAAGUGUUGUCAUAUCAUCAAUAUAGUGGUACCUCAGGUUACAUACGCUUCAGGUUACAGACUCCGCUAACCCAGAAAUAUUACCUCGGGUUAAGAACUUUGCUUCAGGAUGAGAACAGAAAUUGUGCAGUGGCAGCGCGGCGGCAGUGGGAGGCCCCAUUAGCUAAAGUGGUGCUUCAUGUUAAGAACAGUUUCAGGUUAAGAACAGAUUCAGUUCUUAACCUGAGAUACCACUGUACACUGAUUAAAAGAGAUGAUAUAUAUUCCUGUGGGUUAAACCACAGAGCCUAGGACUUGCUGAUCAGAAGGUCGGCAGUUUGAAUCCCCGUGACGGGGUGAGCUCCUGUUGCUCGGUCCCUGCUCCUGCCAAGCUAGCAGUUCGAAAGCAUGUCAAAGUGCAAGUAGAUAAAUAGGUACCGCUCCAGCAGGAAGGUGAACGGCGUUUCCAUGUGCUGCUCUGGUUCGCCGGAAGCGGCUUAGUCAUGCUGGCCACAUGACCUGGAAGCUGUACGCUGGCUCCCUUGGCCAAUAAAGCAAGAUGAGCGCCACAACCCCAGAGUCAGUCACGACUGGACCUAACGGUCAGGGGUCCCUUUACCUUUAUAUAUUCUUCCAGUUCAUCAAUGCCAGUCACUUAGCCACAGUUAGGGCACAUAGAAUCUAUUUUCGUUGUCUGCUUCCAAACGAUAGGUAUAUGGUUCAAAAGUAUGUUUUCCUCUGAAAAUUUUAAGUUUUUCCAAAUACAGUGGUACCUCGGGUUAAGAACUUAAUUCGUUCUGGAGGUCCAUUCUUAACCUGAAACUGUUCUUAACCUGAGGUACCACUUUAGCUAAUGGGGCCUCCUGCUGCUGCCGCGCCGCUGGAGCAUGAUUUCUGUUCUCAUCCUGAAGCAAAGUUCUUAACCUGAGGUACUAUUUCUGGGUUAGCGGAAUCUGUAACCUGAAGCGUCUGUAACCUGAAGUGUUUGUAACCAGAGGUACCACUGUAAUAAUAUUUAUACAGUCCAGCACUUUCUCUCAAUACCUAUUGAGUAUAGAGCGCUGCAGGAACAUAUGUUUCAAAGAGGCAUUAUGCUUAUUACAUCUCCAGCAAAGCGUUGGAGGACUACAUUGGAUAGUCCUUUUUAUACAAACUUAGUGGAGGCCAAUAAAUUUUGAAUAUUAUUUUCUGUUGUAUAAGUUGUCAUAUAAGAUCCAUCAAUACAAAUGGUAUUGAGGCUUUCAUUACUGUCUAGGUAAUAAUGAAAGGUCCAGUUCUUUAUCUCAGUCAUUUCUUAGAAUCUGGGUGUCAAACUUAUUUGCUAACAACAGAUAUCUAAAGAAAGUAGUUGCUGGUUUUUCAAGUUCAAAAAAUGUAUCCGAUUAUUUCAGUAUCUCCAGUGUCUCAAAAGCUGGAAAGGUUACCAGUCCAAACAAAGCUUAAAAAAGCUUAAAAAACAACAAUAACCCCAUAAUGGGUAAAGAAGAAUGUUUUAAAAAUGGGAAUAGGAUUUGACAAAAUUUAUCUGGCAAGCUGCGGAUUAAAUACAAAUUACUAACAGACAUGAAGGAGCGGGGGGGCGGGGAGGGUUGGGCUUCCAGACCUGAGAAUAUAUUAUGAUGCCGCAUUCUUUAGCUGGAUUAAGGACAUUCUAGACUUAGAGGGCUGGAAUAAUAGAUAUGGCCGGUGUGCCUAUCUAAUUUACAAUAAAGUGGUGGUACAUAAAGAAUUUCUAAGACAUAUAAAUAGGAAAUCUCUGUGCAAGGUCUGGGUGAGACAUCAUAGGCUGUUAGAACCAAAAACCCCAUAGUGGGUAUCACCAUUAGAAGUAAACACGGCAGGUAGACUUGCCACAUAUCAGCAACUUCUAAAAGAGGAACAGGGUCAAUUAAAAUUAAGAUCGUAUGAGGAGGCGAACCAAUACUGCACCACAUGGUUACAAUAUCAUCAAAUUGCCCAAAUAUUUAAUCAGGAUAAAAUAACAGGUGCACAAUGUCAUUUCUUUUCUCUGCACUCCUCCCAGCGGUUAUUUUUCUUCUGGUCACUGCUAGGGAUACAUGACUUGACUGCCUGUCUCCAGGCACUGCAGUUGUCUGUAAGAGAUUCCCACACAGCAAGGUUGAUGUUGCCAGCCUUCAGGUCACAUUUGCAGAUAUCUUUGUAAUGCAGAAUUGGUCUGCUAAUUGGCCUGGUACCAGAAGCCAGCUUCCCGUAAAUAUUCCAUGGGAAUCUUGCCAUCUUCCAUUCUGUGGACGUGACCAAGCUAGUGUAGAUGUCACUGAGACACAAGUGCAAACAAUCUUGGAAUGCAAGCUUGAGAGAGCACAUCUUUGUCUGGAAUUCUGUCCUGCCAUGUGAUACCCCAAAUCCUCCUGACGUAGUGCCUGUGGAAGGCAUUGAGGCAUAGCUUCUGGCGGUUGUAAGUUGCCCACAACUCACUUCCAUAAAGCAGUGUGCUCAACACACAAGCCUGGUAGACCUUCAACGUGGUAUUACCCAAAUGCUCCACAGAGUAGCGAUAUGGGGCAUGGAUCCAAAUGCUAACAAAGCCUUAGAAAUAGUGCAGAACAAGUUAAUGGACUAUGCAGAAGUAGAUAAACUAACAGGAAGGAUUCGAAACCGGUGGGACCAUAAAUUCACGGAAGACUGGAGUAAAUUUAUGGACUACUUGAAAAGUAUUUGUGAAGAUCAGACAACAUUUGUAGGUUUGCAAGAAGUUUUGUGAGGAGUAUUAUUGGAAGUAUUGCAAAAAUGGAGAAGGGGAAGGAUGAUUUGUUAAGAGAUGUAAAGGCAAUAUAAAAUUGAGAAAUGCAUAAGAAGUGGUUAAAAUGGUGGAUCAUCAGAGGUGCUGAUGGAAGUCUAAAAAGAUUGUAUAAGUGAUAAGUUUUGUGGUACAUUUUAUGAUUUAUAUGUUAAAAUCAAUAUAUAUAUAUAUAAGAAACAGUGCAGAACAAAUUCCUCAGGAAAGUGCUUUUGCUCCCCAAUGGGACCCCAGCUGCUCUUCUCCGCGUGGAAGCAGACGUGACAACAAUACAGGCUAGAACUGACUAUCUGUGUCUAAACUAUGUGAAAAGACUCCAAUCUCUCUUUGGAGGAGAGAUUCCCCGCUAUGUCCCACACAGAACAGGAACAGACCAAAUGUUGGAAGGAUGUCAUCCAACCCCUCUUGACCCAAUAUCAAUUACAAGAUCUUCAGAUGAUCAUGAUGAUGGAUAAGAGGCACUUAAGAGAUUGCCUCUUCAGGUCCAAUGCAGAAAGGGAUUUAACCAUGAUUGCCUCUACCAAAAGUUCACCAUGGUUCCGACUUAUCAAAACGGAGCACAUCCGAGCUAGUUAUCUGAAAAAGCUCCCACUUGCCGUACUGAGAAUCGCCUUUACAGAAUUACGAUUCCAAUUGAUGCCCUUGGUGGUGGUGGAUGGUCGGUAUGGCAAAGAACAGUACAAGGAGAGGCUUUGUCUGUGUGGGCAACCUUGCAAAGAGGACCUAAACCACUAUUUAUUGCAAUGCCCACUAUAUAUAGAACCAAGAGACUGAUUUAUAUAAACCCCUGCUUACGAACGGAACACACUCGAACAGGGUGCAAAGGGUGAAAUGGCUGCUGAGUGAUACCGAUGACUUUGUAACUUAUCAAGUAGCACUAUAUGCGUUGGCAGCUAUGAAGAUCAGGAGAAAAGAACUAGAUAAAAUAGUGGUCAAUUGCAAAGGUGAUUCGGACAUUUAAGCUGGCACAUUCUACCUGAGAACCCCCUGCUAUUCUAUUGUAUGCAACAAAUAAUUUCUAGGAGACGUGACAGUGGUUUAUUGUAUUUGCAGUGCCUGAUGUUUUUAUGGUUUUUAUGGUUAUUGUUGCUUUUCUUUUUGUUCCCUUUGUGAAUGAUGCCAUGGCCUUUGGCUAGUGCAAUAAAGUUUAUGAUGAUGGUAUUGGUUGUUAGCAUUCCAUUCUCCCAUACCAUUUUGGAGAAGUGAGUCAUUGCCGUAGCUGCCCUGCCAAUACACUUGUCCAGCUUAGCAUCAAUUGAGAGUUUGUGGUUAUGGUGGACUCCAGGUAGACAAAAUUGUCUACCACUUUGAGCAUGCGGUCACUAAUGCUGAUGCAUGGAGUGCUGGUGACAUCCUGAUCCAAUAUGUUGAUCUUUGUUAGGCUGAUGGUAAGGCUGAACUCCCUGCAGGCUUGGGCAAAACAGCUGAUGAGUCUCUGUAGAGGUUCCUUAGAUUGUGCUAUCAAGGCUAACAGCAUCUCUUGGAUAACGAUUCACCACACUUUUGUCUUGGUGCAAAGACAGACACUUGUCACUCCUUGUACGGAUGUGCACACCACCUUCAGUUGAGCUGAAGGCAUGUGAGAGCAACAGAGAGAAGAAUAUGCCAAAGACUGUUGGUGAGAAUACAGCCCUGUUUCACACUGCUAUCUGUAGGCAAGGCGUCUGAGGAUGAGCCAUCAUAUUGGACAGUGCCACACAUGUUGUCAUGGAAGGACACAAUCAUCCUGUGGCAUCCUAUCUUGGAUAGGAUCCUAGCACUCUAUCUUGUUCAGUGUAUAAUCCUUUUUGGCUGACGAGGUCAAAGGCCUUCGUCAGGUCUAUGAAGGCAAUGUACAAGAGGCAUCUCUGCUCUUGGCAUUUCUCCUGCAGCUGGCGCAGUGAGAAAAUCAUGUCUAUUGUUGACCUCUGAGCUCUAAAGCAGCAUUGUGACUUGAGGUAGACCCUGUCAGCAAGUGCCUGUACUCUAUUGAGAACAUCAAGAGUGAAAGCUUUUCCCACAGUACUCAGCGAGGAGAUCCCACAGUAGUUGUUGCAGUCUUGGUGGUCACCUUUGUUCUUUUAAAGGCUCAUGAUUUUGGAGUCACAUAUGUCUUGUGGCAUGGAUCCUUGUUCUCAACACUGCAAGAGGACACAGUAGGGGUGUGUCAUGUGGGAAGAACUGAAGCUGGCUUUCAGAACUUCUGUUGGGAUUCCUUUCUUUCCUGGGGCUUUACCACGUACCUGAGCAUUGAUGGCAUUCUUCAGCUUGUCAUGGGAUCAUACUCACCAUCAUACUAUUAAUUUCUAGUUAAAUAAUUGGUUGUUUUGUCUUUGAAAGCUGUUGCGUUGCAUCCAGAGGUUUCCACCUUGUUACAGGACACUCUUUCACUUUCUGAAAGCCUAUACCAAGGACACUGGGAAUCAACCACCAAUCAAAGCGACUAUAUUCUUCUGUUUUCUGUCUCCAUGUCAGAACAAUGUUUUAAACAAAUCUAUUACCUUCAGAGAAUGCUUUCCACAUUAAUUUGUCUACUACAGAAACCCUGCAUAUUACUAUGGAUCCUGGGGUAUAUUCUAGGGUGCACACUUCACUAGCAAGGCCUCUUAGGCUUCACAGUUGCCCCAGAGGAAUGGAGAGAGUGUCCAAGAAAACAUCCAAUAGUCCUGUUGUCCUGGAGGGGAAGAUCAGUAGCACUGAGCAAGAGAUCUUUCAAAGAACUUUGGCUGCUAUUAUUGACCUUGGGGAACUCCAGGUUCUUCAGAGAAGAGUUUGAAAGCAUGAGAAAGUCAGAAACUGCAUCAAUUAAUGGUAAUCCAUUUGUAAAAAACAAAAACAAAAACAUUGGGUAAAACCUCAGCGCCUAGGACUUGCCAAUCGCAUGGUCGGCGGUUCGAAUCCCCGCGGCGGGGUGCACUCCCGUUGCUCGGUCCCAGCGCCUGCCAACCUAGCAGUUUGAAAGCACGCCCGGGUGCAAGUAGAUAAAUAGGGACCGCUUACUAGCGGGAAGGUAAGCGGCGUUUCUGUGUGCUGCGCUGGCUCGCCAGAGCAGCUUCGUCACGCUGGCCACAUGACCCGGAAGUGUCUGCGGACAGCGCUGGCUCCCGGCCUCUAGAGUGAGAUGAGCGCACAACCCUAGAGUCUGUCAAGACUGGCCCGUACGGGCAGGGGUACCUUUACCUAUUUGUAAAACAGCCACCUGAAGCUUCAUGGUCAGGGCCCACUUCAAUUCAGAAGCGGGGGGCAGGGUCAUGUCAGAAACAAAGGGGGCCAAAACUUAAAGAAAACUUCAAAAACCUCCCAAUUUAUAAUAAAAAGACUGACAGGUCAACUGACUGUGUUGUUGCUAGCUUUAUCAAACAGCAGGGGUAGGGAACUUGUGGUUCUCCAGAUGUUGUUGGACUUCAUGUCCUAUCAGUCCCAGGCAGCACAGCCCAAUGUUCAACAUCAUCUGAAGGACUUUAGUUCCCCCAACUUUGCCUUAAGGCAGGAAUGUUGAAAGUCCAUUUUGGCAGCCUAAUCCAGCCUGGCCCCCGGGGCAGUAUAUGUCCUGGGGUAAAAUCCCCAAAAAAGUUCAGCAACUUCAAUCCUCAAAAAAGCUCAACAACCUUGGGGUUAAAUCCUUAAAAAAGCUUAACAACUUCAAUCUUAAAAAAAAAAAAAAAAGCUCACAACGGUCAGCCUUCAUCAAAUCUGGCCCUCUUUGAAAAAAGUUUGGACACCCCUGCAGGGCAAGUCUGGCCAAAGGGGAAGGGAGAUAAGAAGACCACCUGAUUUAUAGUCUUGCAAUAAACCUCCAGAACACAGGAGAUUGACAUAUAAUGGGUCCAGCCCAGGUAUCGGUUUGCAAAAAUAAAUAAAUACAUGGGAGGGUCAAACAUUAGUUCUAUAUUAGGCAUCAGCAACUGUAAGACACAAAUUUGACCAAGUUGUAGUUGGACCCCAGAACUAAUAACCCACUGGCAAGAGUACUUAGAAGUCUGGAAUGAGGUUCCAGCAAUCCCCUGGGUAGGAAGGAUGGAAGAAGCUGGGCCUACCACCAAAUCACCCCUUCUUCAAAAUUGCCAUCUCAAUAAAUUAGCUGUUAAUCAAGUUGUCCUAACCUAAAAUAGGCACACCAAAAUUCUGUGUCAUUUAUAAACUAAACACCUCAGAUGCUGACAGAGCUGGACCUGAAUCUGAACACAUCCUUGCCUCAGAAAACUCAGUUAGUACCUCUCCCAUUUUAGCAACCAGUUUAAAGGCUCUUUAUUAUGUUAUGAGAACAGUGUUAUGAGAGUAAUCACAUUUCUUUCAAAACUGCUUAGCACAUAAAAAUGGUGCCUACAGUUGAUGUGUGUUUGCUAAAGAACAGGAAAUGGUUUAAAAGGUGAUAAAGCUCAGUUCACCAGUCAUUGCAGGGGGUAAAGGGACCCCUGACCAUUAGGUCCAGUCGCAGACGACUCUGGGGUUGAGGUGCUCAACUCGCUUUAUUGGCCGAGGGAGCCGGCGUACAGCUUCUGGGUCAUGUAGCCAGCAUGACUAAGCCACUUCUGGCAAACCAGAGCAGCACACUGAAAUGCUGUUUACCUUCCCGCCGGAGCGGUACCUGUUUAUCUACUUGCACUUUGUGCUUUUGAACUGCUAGGUGGGAAGCAGAGACCGAGCAACGGGAGCUCACCCCGUCGCGGGGAUUUGAACCGCCGACCUUCUGAUCGGCAAGCCCUAGGCUCUGGCUCUGUGGUUUAACCCACAGCACCUCCUGUGUCCCUUUUAUUGCAGGGGGUAGCUGUGGCUAAAAGGAGAGAUAGUAUGCUACUGAUUUUGAGUAUUCGCAUUCGUCUUGCGAGGUACCACUGUAGAUAAAUAGGUACUGCUGUGGCAGGAAGGUAAACUGUGUUUCCAUGUUCUCUGGUUUCCGUUAUGGUGUCCCGUUACGCCAUAAGCGAUUUAGUCAUGCUGGUCACAUGACCUUGAAAUUUGUCUGUGGAAAAAUGGCAGCUCCCUUGACCUGAAAGCAAGAUGAGCACUGCACCCCAUAGUCAUCUUUGACUGGACUUAACCGUCCAGGGGUCCUUUACCUUUACCCUCUGGCAUAUAAUUGAGUUAUAAAGUGAAACAAACUGCAUUAGGGGUUGUCGUUUUUUUAAGUUUAACCUUACUUUGAUUUUCUCAGCUUCUGACUAUGGCCUAUUCCCAUUUUCAAAAUGGCGCUCAGCAUCUCUAUAAAUCUGUCACAAUCAUACUAAGGUACAGAUUACAGGUUCCUGAUGUACACUUCAAUGUCACUGGACUAAAAUGAAAUAAUUCCUUAGAAAGGUCUUUCUGCACCCUCUAGUGGUAAGGAAAAAACACAGUUCAAUUGAUGAACCAUCUUCUCUUGGGUCUGUUCAGGUGCAGUAUUUCAAGGGAACGGGAUGGGCACUGAGCUUGAUUUUCAUGCUCAAAUACAUGUAUAAAUAUUAAGUAUUCCUGAACCACAGCUGCAUUAGUUUGUUGCUGCUAUAUUUGGUUUGAGGCUUGUUGAAAUACAUUUUUUUCACUGGAGCCAAGCAUCCACCCAUUUGCUACAGGAAUAGCUUUCAACACAUCAUACCCACCCUCACUGAGCAACACAGCUCUAGGAAGGCCACAUUUGAGGUUACCUAGCCCUGGACAAAUUUUGGGUUUUACACUUUGAAGUAGACAGACGUUGAUGAAGUUAUGCAUGCAUGGUAAAGAGAAAAAGUACCAUUGUACUGAAGGGUAGCAUCACUGGGUUGGGCUUACCUGCGCCUCUGGUGAAUGAAGGCAGGAGUAGUUUUUACAAGGAAUAGGUUGGCCCUUCUACAGUUUUGCAUACUCACUGAGCAUAAACAGUCCAGAACUGAAACUCAAAAUAGUAUUAACAUAUUUCCGACAACAAUCCUUUAACUCAAAGCCAACCAUGCAAACAGAGGUGGGAAGAGGUGUUGUGGGGUGGCCAACUCUCAAGAAACUGCAAUCUACUUUCAGAAUUAAAAACUGGCAGUGAUCUACCCCCUUUUUGGGGGGUUCAGCUCAAAGCUUUUGAGCUUUUUUUAGGGAGGAGAAAAGCCCCGUUUUUAGGGGUUAAAAAUGCUUUUUUGGGGGGGAGAAGUCCCGUUGGGGGGGUUAAAGGCAAGGGACGAAGGGGUAAAGUCCCUCACAAAAAAGAUCGCUAUGGAUCAAAACAGCAGCACAGAGAAAGCUCUGUCUUCCCUUCCGGAGCUCAUACAACAAUGGAGGGCGGGGUGAGGGGGCGUGGCAGGAGUCAGUUUUAUCAACGCUAAGGAAAGGGAGCCAGAGAUAAACCGCGAUCUACCAAAACCUCGCGGAGAUCUACCAGUAGAUCGUGAUCGACCUGUUGGACAGCCUGUUAAGGGUGUGGCACCAGUGAUGCUAAACUGGACAAGUAAACCUACCCUUCAGGAAGGUGCAAUGCUACAACUUCGCUUGACAGUGCAGCAGGGUUUGGCUUCCAGGUAGCUACCUAGAGGCCAAACUCAUUUGGUCCUCCCCAAUAUUUUCUUUGGGGGGACGCCUCCCCCCAUGGUAGCAGCUGCAAGAGGAGGCUGAGCGCCAGAGAGUUGGAGCUGUUGGUCAUUGAAGCUGCGCUGGCGCUGCAUUCAGCUUUGCCCCUGGCUCUUCCCGAUAUCGCAACGCAACGUUGCGCAUUGUAACACACACGUGGCAUCACCCCCACACCCCCAAUCCUUGGUGCAAGUUGGUGCUUCUGCAGUGUAGCAUCACUGGGUUUGGACGUACAAAAGUUUACCCAACUAGUGUGGGUCCCAGCUACAAGUUUUUAUUGUCGGAAAGCUUUCUAUAAGGGAUUCAUCUUAUAGUGCCUAUUGAAUGUGCUGGGGGAUGGCCCGGUCACUACUCUGCAUAUUUCUAAGGAGGCAUUUGUAGAAAAAGCAGCUGAAGUUGUGGCUGCUCUCAUGGAAUGGGCAGUCAGAUGUUUGGGAAGAGGCAGUUUCUGUGCCUCAUAGGACACACCCUUAAGCUUCUGGAAAGAGUAGUUGGUGUUACCCUCUGCCUCACGGAGGAGGGAUAAAAUGGGACAAAGAGAAGUUUGUUGUACGUCCUUUAUACAGGCAAUAUAUACUGUUACAAAAGUUGGGCACCACCCCCACACUCUGCCAAUCGGUAGCAAGUUUCCAGGGGAUCCAGGUGCUCAACCAGAGUUUGUUCUCCUUUGGAGAAUUGAAGAUGUGGUGGAGACUGUCAUAGCUUUAAGAAAUAUGAUUUAUUCACAUAUUUACACCUGCAGUCUGCUGGAGGGAGUCGAAAUCUUACCGCAUAGUAAUUUCAAGAGGGGCUUUUCCCCACAGCAGUGCAGCACUAAAGGCAUCUUUCCCAGGGAGAAUGCUGAAGGAUGGAUCUCCCCUUCUCUUCCCAGCAUACUAAAGAUCCUUUUCCUGUGACCUCUCUCUCAUACACCAUCACCUUGGCAAUCUCUCUUCACUCAGGCCCAAGAUUCCUCUUGGAUGCUCCAUCCACACCUUUUGUCAUGUUAACACCUCUGCUUGGCCAGGCUGGUUUGCAUAAGCCAGUCCAGGGAUUCCUCGUCUGACCCAGUCCUGCAGGCAUGUAAUUUCAUUCAUAUCCAAAAUAAUCAAAAUCCCACCAUUUUCUAAUUUCUAGGGUUAGGGGGUUCCCCCCCCCCAAACUCAAAAGCUUCAGAGACCAGCGACCAUUGUGUGAUGUCUUUGGGCAGAAGGUGGACAAGAUUACUUCUUGCUGAAGGUAGAACUUUGACAGCACAUUGGCAAGGAAAUUGGGAUCCAAUCGGUGAAUCACUAUGUCGCUAUGGAAGAUAGAGAUGCUUUACCACUAAAGGGCACUGAUUUCGGAGACUCUGUGGGCUGCACCAUUCUUCUCUUUCGGUGAAGAAAACUAUUCUUUUGUCUUUAGAUCCAGUAAGGAUUUAUUUGAGUGCUUCUUCCUCAAAGAGCAUCGAUCCAUGGAAAGAUACUGGAGUGUCUGCUUCCCACCGUUACUUGUAGGCUUGCCGUAUGUCCGGUUUUUCCCCGGACACACCCAGCAAAUUGUUCCACAUUUUUUUCGGGGGGGGGGCAGAUUUUUAUAAUUUCCCAAAAUGUCCAGGUUUUUUGCUGGGUCAAGCCUUGUAGGUGGUGGCGGCGGCGGGGCGCUAGAACCCAGCGGCAAGGCGCCGCAGUCUCUGCUCUGCUCUGCUAUUCUCAUUGCUCUUUCCCUUCGACCCUGAAAGCGGAAUAAGGAGGGCGAAUAUCGUCACCGCGACUUCUGAUUGGCUGCUCGACUGUGGGGAGCACUUGGGUCUCUUUUCUCGCGCCAGUUUCAAGCGCUUGGGCGGGAGAGCGUGAAGAUGCGGACCGGGUUUGGAGGUGCUGCAGCCGGUAGUCCGCUCCCUCCCGCCUUGCUCCGCCAUGGAUUUGAGUGACAGCCCGCGCGACGGGGCUGGUGGUGGUUGCCAUGGAGGUUAGAGAGGCGCUGUCGUUAGGUCUGGUCUGGUCUGGUCGGGUCGGGUUGGGAUGGGGUGGGAGUAAGGGGGCUGCUGGCAAAAGGGGGAAGGCACUGUGUGGCCAGGUAAGUAGGGAAUCUCGGAGAGCAGACGCUCCAGCAUGGAGGGGAGAAGACAGCUGCAGCAGUGUGUGGUUAUUUGCAAAACCCGUUGGGGUGCGCGCGUGCGUGCUGGGGAGAUUGUGAAUCCUCGUGCGGGAAAGGGAGGUAAAGAUCAGGAGGGAGGGGGACGGAGAGUUAGGCAGCCACCUCUCGGCACCCGAUCGAAGCCCCCCAGGACAAAAUCAAUAGCAGCCUCUCUCUCUGGCUUCCUCUGCGCCUUUCCCCAGCGCGCCUCCUCAGCAUCCCUCCUCUCACGCUCUCUUUUUCCAGGCAACGAUCCCUCCCCACCCCGCACAACCACCCUUCUCUCCCCUUUUGGGGGCGCCCUCCAUAAAAUAAGGCUGUCUUUGGCUCAGGGAGACCCUCCUUUUCUCUAACUGGGAGUUAUUGAUUUACCCACAUCUCUGCUGCGCUUCCCGACGUUUUCCCCCUGACGAUUUCUGUUCGCUCCCCCCCUCUCCUUUUCUCUGCUGUUUCAUUCCCCCCGCCCCCCGCCGCCUCUCGCCAUUGCGUAGCUUUUUCAGUCCUUUGCCUUCUGCCUCCUGUCUGGACGCCCCCCCCCCCAGCACUCCUCUCGCCUCUUCCUUCCCUUCCCUCUCUCCUGGUGAGAUCCCUCUUCCAUUCUCUGCCUUUUCUCUGCUUUCCCUCCUCCCACCGAGGUCUUCCCCCAUCCCCCACCACCACGGGCUGCGUCCCUUUCUCCCCCCUCCCUCCAAAUAGUGUUCGACCCCCUACCCUACACUGCCCAGCCUCUGCCUAAUGACUUGCUGUGAAAGCCUCAUCCAGGGUCUUUCCAUCUCUUUAAACCUCUCCCUGCUCAUCCCAUCUUGUUUUAGGGCCAUAGCUCAGUGGCAGAGUAUCUGCUCUGAAUGCAAGCCCCCAUCUCCAGGUGGGGCUGGGAAAAGGGCUCCUGUCUGAAACCCUGGACAGCUGCAGCCGGUCAGUGUAGACAAUACUGACCUAGAAGGUGGCAAAUGUGUCCUCUUUUUUUGCCUUUUAGAAUAUGGCAACCCUAUUAUAGGGACCAAUUCUGACUUUGCCAAAUUAACAGAAUAUCCAGAAAUUUGACCAAAUGUAUUUAUUGUUUGCAUCAGUGUUGGAAUAGUAGUAUGAGGUUUCGUAAUAAGUAAGAGUAU
rnacentral:lncRNA from 1 species